rnacentral:rRNA from 1 species
GGACGGGGCCCGGCACAAGCGGUGGAGUAUGUGGUUUAAUUCGAUGCAACGCGAAGAACCUUACCUGGUCUUGACAUCCCGGAGACCCUUAGGAAACUAGGGGGUGCUUCCAUCUGGAAGAAUCUGGAGACAGGUGCUGCAUGGCUGUCGUCAGCUCGUGUCGUGAGAUGUUGGGUUAAGUCCCGCAACGAGCGCAACCCUUGCCUUUAGUUGCCAGCAGUUCGGCUGGGCACUCUAAAGGGACUGCCGGUGUUAAACCGGAGGAAGGUGGGGAUGACGUCAAGUCCUCAUGGCCUUUAUGACCAGGGCUACACACGUACUACAAUGGCCGAUACAAAGGGCAGCGACACUGCGAGGUGAAGCCAAUCCCGUAAAAUCGGUCUCAGUCCGGAUUGGAGUCUGCAACUCGACUCCAUGAAGUUGGAAUCGCUAGUAAUCGUGGAUCAGCAUGCCACGGUGAAUACGUUCCCGGGCCUU